GCAUCGAUGAAGAACGCAGCGAAAUGCGAUAAGUAAUGUGAAUUGCAGAAUUCAGUGAAUCAUCGAAUCUUUGAACGCACAUUGCGCCCUCUGGUAUUCCGGGGGGCAUGCCUGUUCGAGCGUCAUUACAACCCUCAAGCUCUGCUUGGUAUUGGGCACUGCAGGUUUCUGCAGGCCUUAAAAUCAGUGGCGGUGCCAUUCGGCUUCAAGCGUAGUAAUUCUUCUCGCUUUGGAGACCCGAGUGGUUAGCUAGCCAGUAACCCCCAAUUUUUUCAGGUUGACCUCGGAUCAGGUAGGGAUACCCGCUGAACUUAAGCAUAUCAAUAAACG
rnacentral:rRNA from 1 species